rnacentral:rRNA from 1 species
UUCGCAAUGCCCGAAAGGGUGACGAAGCGACGCCGCGUGUGGGAAGAAGGCCUUCGGGUUGUAAACCACUGUCAGGAGUUAAGAAAUGUAAGGAUGUUAAUAGCGUCCUUACUUGACUAAGGCUCCAGAGGAAGCCACGGCUAACUCUGUGCCAGCAGCCGCGGUAAUACAGAGGCGGCAAGCGUUGUUCGGAAUUAUUGGGCGUAAAGAGCACGUAGGCGGCCCCGAAAGUCAGUUGUGAAAGCCUUCUGCUUAACGGAAGAACAGCAGCUGAUACUGCAAGGCUAGAGUGCGGAAGGGGAGAGUGGAACUUCUGGUGGAGCGGUGAAAUGCGUAGAUAUCAGAAGGAACACCGGCGGCGAAAGCGACUCUCUGGUCCGUAACUGACGCUGAGUGUGCGAAAGCUAGGGGAGCAAACGGGAUUAGAUACCCCGGUAGUCCUAGCCGUAAACGAUGGGCACUAAGUAGAGGGGUUUU